rnacentral:rRNA from 1 species
AGCAGCCGCGGUAAUUCCAGCUCCAAUAGCGUAUAUUAAAGUUGCUGCAGUUAAAAAGCUCGUAGUUGAAUUUCGGGACCAAUAUGUCGGUCGUGCCUCGGUACGUACUGGCAUCGUUGGUUUCUCCUUUCUGAAGAACCAUGAUGUCAUUUAUUUGGUGUCGUGGGGAAUCAGGACUGUUACUUUGAAAAAUUAGAGUGUUUAAAGCAGGCUCACGCUUGAAUACAUUAGCAUGGAAUAAUGAAAUAGGACGUUUGAUUCUAUUUUGUUGGUUUCUAGGAUCGACGUAAUGAUUAAUAGGGAUAGUUGGGGGCAUUAGUAUUCAAUUGUCAGAGGUGAAAUUCUUGGAUUUAUUGAAGACUAACUACUGCGAAAGCAUUUGCCAAGGAUGUUUUCAUUAAUCAAGAACGAAAGUUAGGGGAUCGAAGACGAUCAGAUACCGUCGUAGUCUUAACCAUAAACUAUGCCGACUAGGGAUCGGAUGAUGUUAAUUUUUAAUGUACUCAUUCGGCGUACCCG